GAGCUUGCUCCACCGGAAAAAGAGGAGUGGCGAACGGGUGAGUAACACGUGGGUAACCUGCCCAUCAGAAGGGGAUAACACUUGGAAACAGGUGCUAAUACCGUAUAACAAUCAAAACCGCAUGGUUUUGAUUUGAAAGGCGCUUUCGGGUGUCGCUGAUGGAUGGACCCGCGGUGCAUUAGCUAGUUGGUGAGGUAACGGCUCACCAAGGCCACGAUGCAUAGCCGACCUGAGAGGGUGAUCGGCCACAUUGGGACUGAGACACGGCCCAAACUCCUACGGGAGGCAGCAGUAGGGAAUCUUCGGCAAUGGACGAAAGUCUGACCGAGCAACGCCGCGUGAGUGAAGAAGGUUUUCGGAUCGUAAAACUCUGUUGUUAGAGAAGAACAAGGAUGAGAGUAACUGUUCAUCCCUUGACGGUAUCUAACCAGAAAGCCACGGCUAACUACGUGCCAGCAGCCGCGGUAAUACGUAGGUGGCAAGCGUUGUCCGGAUUUAUUGGGCGUAAAGCGAGCGCAGGCGGUUUCUUAAGUCUGAUGUGAAAGCCCCCGGCUCAACCGGGGAGGGUCAUUGGAAACUGGGAGACUUGAGUGCAGAAGAGGAGAGUGGAAUUCCAUGUGUAGCGGUGAAAUGCGUAGAUAUAUGGAGGAACACCAGUGGCGAAGGCGGCUCUCUGGUCUGUA
rnacentral:rRNA from 1 species